UUGACACUUAGAAAAGAAAAAAAAAGGGGAAAGUUAAAGACCUCUCCUUGGAGGUUCACGGCCAACACCAAGAAAAAUCAACCUCCAUUUCUUGUCCUUCCAAAAAUAUUUUGUUGAUGCUAACCCACUAUAUUAAGGUCCCUAAGUAGAGUGGAAGCAUCAUUGGAACGAUCAACCUAUUAAUUUUUCAUCUUUUGGAAAACCCUAGCCUAUUGGAAGUUGAAGAGAAAAAGACCUUGGGGAGCCCAAGGCGUAGAUUGGAUAUUUACUUAAGAUUGGCUAUCUUGAGUGCGUUCGAGGUACAGACGCACAGUUCGGUGAUCCCCCAGUGUAGGAUACCCCUUUUGCUGUUGGAGUGCUCCCCUCCCUUCAGAGCACAUCUUUUGGUAUACACUUUUGUUCGUUAUGUUGUAUAUAUUCGUUCAUGGGUACGGCGGGGCCCUGUUCCGCCAUAUGAUUCGUUUGGUCUGCUUAGAGGUCUGUAGACUUAUUUGUGGGUGUGUGUGCCUACUUCUGUGCAGUUGUGUCCAUAUGAUCUCCUUCGUUAUGGCAGCCUUGUCGGCAUGCAUUAUGUAUAUGUUUAUGGCAGCCUUGUCGGCUCGCACAUGUAUAUGUUGUUCUGUUGGCCCUGUGUGGCCUUUGUGGUAUUUGCUGUGUACAGAGUUAUUUUGGAUAGUCCGAAAAACAAAGGAAACUCUACCGAAAUUUUU